rnacentral:rRNA from 1 species
UUAACACAUGCAAGUCGAGGGGCAGCAUUUCAGUUUGCUUGCAAACUGGAGAUGGCGACCGGCGCACGGGUGAGUAACACGUAUCCAACCUGCCGAUAACUCGGGGAUAGCCUUUCGAAAGAAAGAUUAAUACCCGAUGGUAUAAUCAGACCGCAUGGUCUUGUUAUUAAAGAAUUUCGGUUAUCGAUGGGGAUGCGUUCCAUUAGGCAGUUGGUGAGGUAACGGCUCACCAAACCUUCGAUGGAUAGGGGUUCUGAGAGGAAGGUCCCCCACAUUGGAACUGAGACACGGUCCAAACUCCUACGGGAGGCAGCAGUGAGGAAUAUUGGUCAAUGGGCGCAGGCCUGAACCAGCCAAGUAGCGUGAAGGAUGACUGCCCUAUGGGUUGUAAACUUCUUUUAUAUGGGAAUAAAGUUUUCCACGUGUGGAAUUUUGUAUGUACCAUAUGAAUAAGGAUCGGCUAACUCCGUGCCAGCAGCCGCGGUAAUACGGAGGAUCCGAGCGUUAUCCGGAUUUAUUGGGUUUAAAGGGAGCGUAGGUGGACAGUUAAGUCAGUUGUGAAAGUUUGCGGCUCAACCGUAAAAUUGCAGUUGAUACUGGCUGUCUUGAGUACAGUAGAGGUGGGCGGAAUUCGUGGUGUAGCGGUGAAAUGCUUAGAUAUCACGAAGAACUCCGAUUGCGAAGGCAGCUCACUGGACUGCAACUGACACUGAUGCUCGAAAGUGUGGGUAUCAAACAGGAUUAGAUACCCUGGUAGUCCACACAGUAAACGAUGAAUACUCGCUGUUUGCGAUAUACAGUAAGCGGCCAAGCGAAAGCAUUAAGUAUUCCACCUGGGGAGUACGCCGGCAACGGUGAAACUCAAAGGAAUUGACGGGGGCCCGCACAAGCGGAGGAACAUGUGGUUUAAUUCGAUGAUACGCGAGGAACCUUACCCGGGCUUAAAUUGCAUUUGAAUAUAUUGGAAACAGUAUAGCCGUAAGGCAAAUGUGAAGGUGCUGCAUGGUUGUCGUCAGCUCGUGCCGUGAGGUGUCGGCUUAAGUGCCAUAACGAGCGCAACCCUUAUCUUUAGUUACUAACAGGUCAUGCUGAGGACUCUAGAGAGACUGCCGUCGUAAGAUGUGAGGAAGGUGGGGAUGACGUCAAAUCAGCACGGCCCUUACGUCCGGGGCUACACACGUGUUACAAUGGGGGGUACAGAAGGCAGCUACCUGGUGACAGGAUGCUAAUCCCAAAAGCCUCUCUCAGUUCGGAUCGAAGUCUGCAACCCGACUUCGUGAAGCUGGAUUCGCUAGUAAUCGCGCAUCAGCCAUGGCGCGGUGAAUACGUUCCCGGGCCUUGUACACACCGCCCGUCAAGCCAUGAAAGCCGGGGGUACCUGAAGUACGUAACCGCAAGGAGCGUCCUAGGGUAAAACUGGUAAUUGGGGCUAAAU